CUGGAAGGCGCGCGUCAGCCGUCGUCUGAGGUCCUCCAGCAGCGGGCUGGUCUCCUGGACGUCCGUGCUCCUGCGGUCCCCGGGAAAGCCGCUCGCGGGACGAGGCAAAGCAAAUUGAAGAAUUGGAGCACUGGGGUGAGUAUAACAUGCACAGACAUUUGAGUUAGGAAAUGUAUUAAUUAUUUAUUGCUGCAUAACAGCAACAAUUUUUUAGGUUUAAAAAAAUACAUUUAUUAUCUC